GGAGAGGUGCCUGAGUGGCCGAAAGGAACGGUUUGCUAAAUCGUCGUACAUCAAAAGUGUACCCAGGGUUCGAAUCCCUGUCUCUCCG
rnacentral:tRNA from 9 species